CAAUAGCGUAUAUUAAAGUUGUUGCGGUUAAAAAGCUCGUAGUUGGAUUUCUGCUGAGAACGACCGGUCCGCCCUUUGGGUGUGUAUCUGGCUCUUUCUUGGCAUCUUCUUGGUGAACGUUGCUGCACUUGACUGUGUGGAGCGCUACCCAGGACUUUUACUUUGAGGAAAUUAGAGUGUUUCAAGCAGGCAUACGCCUUGAAUACAUUAGCAUGGAAUAAUAAGAUAGGACCUCGGUUCUAUUUUGUUGGUUUCUAGAGCUGAGGUGAGUAUUAAUGGGGAUUGUUGGGGGCAUCCGAAUUUAGCCGUCAGAGGUGAAAUUCUUGGAUCUGCUAAAGACGGACAACUGCGAAANCGNNNGCCCAGGAUGUUUUCAUNGA
rnacentral:rRNA from 1 species